rnacentral:lncRNA from 1 species
UGAGUCCUUUUAUUUUGAUGAAUGUAGGGAGUUAUUGACUUGUGGUUGACUUCUUCCUACGUAGGGAUGAAGUGAUGUGUGGUGGAUAUAACUCCAUCUUCUUUAUUUUAGGAGGUCGUGGUGUGGUGGCGCAGCUGUUAUAAUCCGACCUCUGGGAUGAUAGGUUCUCAUAACUCUCCACACCCUUAUUUCCCUUUCAAGCACCUUUUGAGAAAAGAAUGGAGUAGGGGUCAUGUUCCUAUUUUUGUCCUCUUGGUUAUUUUGUAUUUAACUUCUUCAGCUAUCUUGAUCGUGUUUUAAUUGUUCUUUUUAUUGCUAAGUCUUAUCCUUAUAUUUACGCCUUGUUGGCUAAGUGGUUUUGAACGUAGCCUUGAUUCAAGAUUUCUCGUUUUCUCCCUUGAGGGAUCUUUAUUGCCUGCUCGUAUAAUGACAAUGUUGAUAAGCAGAGAAAAUAAUAAUCACGGGAAAAGGAAUGAAUAGAUGUCAUAGUCCUACAACUACUAAUGAGUAGAGUACCUCCAUCUAAAUGUGUCUCGGCAUCACUAAGCUGAAAAAAAUAUAUAUUAUCGAUAAACAAUAACGCAUGUUUUAUCUUCAUAAAUUAUGAAAAAAAAAAAAAAGAUUCUACCAAUAUUUACAACUAUAUAAGAAAUUAUGAGAAUCAUUCAACUAACAGGUUGCUGUGGUUCUUACAAUUAUUAUAAAAAAAAUUUGGAUGCCAUUUGUGCAUUGCUGCCUCUGCAUCAACUUUGCACGCGCAUAACAAAUCCAACUAGUAUAAAGUGCUAUAAGGCACAAAGUAGUGCACAUGAGCACACGCAUAACAAAUUCAACUAGUAUAAAGUGCUAUAUAAGGCACAAAGUAGUGCACAUGAGCAUUAAAAACUAGCUAGGGGUAGUGCCCUCCUUGUAAUAUGACGAUUUGUCACUUAUAUGAGAAUACCCUUUUAAAACUAAUGGAGUUAAUUUAAUAGUUACAAGAAAUAAGUUGAAGAGGAGCUGCGCUUCUUCCUCAUCAAGUAAUGCUAUCAUCCUUUAUGAUCGACGAUGCUUUCUACGGCCUCUAGAAACAGGAUUAAUGGACCACCCACUCCUUCACCUAACCUUUGACCUUGUAUAAAUCAAUAUAUAUAUAUAUAUAUAUAACAGCCAUUGUAGUACAAGUUAAAUCACUUAUUAAAUGAUCGCCAUUUUCGUUAAUUUUGAUGGCAGUCUUAUGGUGCUUAGGAAUUAGUCUAACUAGGGAAAUAUUCGGCCAAACGACAUACAGAUUCUUUAAUUAUCUUCAAAAGUCGUUAGUAAAGAUCUCAAUCUCUCGUCUAGACAGUUUAGUUUCGCAUGAUAUGAAAACUUCGGUUCAUUUGAGUUGAAUUUGAUCGUCAUAUUUUAUAAUAGUUCAUGCGUAACUGUAAAUAUUUUUUUAGUAUUGCUCCACCAAUUAGUAUGACUACAUUAAAAAAAGAAAAAAAAGAAAAUUAAAAUUGCAGCUGGUGCAUUUGGACCGCCGUCACCUACCUUGUGCUCUAAAUCAUCUACAGUCGCUUCCACGUUUGUCACUACAAUUAUAUAUUCUUACGGCCACCUGUAACCGUUAUCCACGUUUAAAACGAUGAUGGAUAUAGUUGUUAGGUUAUAUAUUCUCAUGGAUCAUCUUGCUGAAAUCUUUUGACAACAUGAUAAGUUAGUGCAUUUGAUUAGCUUACAGUAUUACUCCCAGUCUUCAAGUUUCAAAGGCCAUUGCCUUUUUUCAUGUGCAAUGAUCCAGGCUCUCGUGCUUUUUGGUCAAGAGGAAAAAACAAAAAAAAAAAAAAAACCUAAUUAAUUUCCUCUGUAAUAGCUGGAAUCGCGUAUGAAUGAAUAGUAUAUGUAUAAAUUGAGAUGGGGAUUCGGGAAGAUAUUUGAAUGCAGUCUAUACACAAUUGAAAGAUUCGUCGAAGGGUCGGUGAAGAAAUUAAGCAAAAGACAAGUCCAAGUGUCCACGAAUCACUUGAUAUUUCGUACUUCCUUAUAAAUACAUUAAUUCUUUUUUAACUUAUUCACGUAAAAUUUACGAAGUGUAGCACUUUUUUUAUUUUUUUUUGGGAACGCCUAAGUUACAAUCAAUGUACCUUACGUUCUUUGUCUUUUUCUUUUUGGCAAAUAUCAUAUGAGCCCUCCUAAUUCUUUUUAUUUUCAAUUUUUACAGCUGU